UACGUAGGGUGCGAGCGUUAAUCGGAAUUACUGGGCGUAAAGCGUGCGCAGGCGGUUUUGUAAGCCAGAUGUGAAAGCCCCGGGCUUAACUGGGGAAGUGCACCCGAAACUGAGCGGCUUGAAUGCAAAAGAGGGUCGCGGAAUUCCCGGUGUAGAGGUGAAAUUCGUAGAUAUCGGGAGGAACACCGGUGGCGAAGGCGGCGACCUGGGUUGACAUUGACGCUGAGGCGCGAAAGCGUGGGGAGCAAACAGG
rnacentral:rRNA from 1 species